AAUCAGCAUCAGUGUUAAGAGAACAGUCUGGAAAGGCUGGCCACAGCAGGUGAUAGCCCUGUAUCUGAAAGCACUGGUGUUGUGAGUCCGAUGAGUAAGGCGGGACACGUGUUAUCCUGUCUGAAUAUGGGGGGACCAUCCUCCAAGGCUAAAUACUCCUGACUGACCGAUAGUGAACCAGUACCGUGAGGGAAAGGCGAAAAGAACCCCGGCGA
rnacentral:rRNA from 1 species